AACAAACGCUGGCGGCGUGCCUAACACAUGCAAGUCGUACGAGAAAGGGUCCUUCGGGGCCUGAGUAAAGUGGCGCACGGGUGAGUAACGCUUGGAUAAUCUGCCCUUCAGUUGGGAAUAACUCAUCGAAAGGUGGGCUAAUACCGAAUAAUGCUGUGAGACCUCGGUUGAUCAGCCAAAGAGAGCCUCUGCUUGCAAGCCCUCGCUGAAGGAUGAGUCCGCGUACCAUUAGCUAGUUGGUAGGGUAAUGGCCUACCAAGGCGACGAUGGUUAGCUGGUCUGAGAGGAUGAACAGCAACACUGGAACUGAGACACGGUCCAGACUCCUACAGGAGGCAGCAGUGAGGAAUCUUGCGCAAUGGGGGCAAGCCUGACGCAGCAACGCCGCGUGAGUGAGGAAGGUCUUCGGAUCGUAGAGCUCUGUCGGAUGGAAAGAACCGCAUAGGGGUAAACAGCCCCUGUGUCUGACGGUACCAUCAAAGGAAGCACCGGCUAACUCCGUGCCAGCAGCCGCAGUAAAAC
rnacentral:rRNA from 1 species